rnacentral:ncRNA from 2 species
AGGUUAGUUUUACCCUAC